rnacentral:ncRNA from 1 species
CUAAAUGCUAUGAUAUGGGAAGAGUAAAUAGUGAAAGAUUUUUUAGAGAGUGAGGGCAGGUGAAAGCUCACAAAUUGGAAGCUGUUGAAAAUCACCCAGGAGCAGCAAGCUGAAAUUAGUAAGCUAUGCCGGCGUGAAGUCGUUAUUAAAAUUAAGUUAUAAAUAUGGGUGGUAACGCGAUCAAACCUCGCCCCAAAU